AGUGAACGCUGGCGGCAGGCCUAACACAUGCAAGUCGAACGGCAGCACAGUAAGAGCUUGCUCUUACGGGUGGCGAGUGGCGGACGGGUGAGGAAUACAUCGGAAUCUACUUUUUCGUGGGGGAUAACGUAGGGAAACUUACGCUAAUACCGCAUAUGACCUACGGGUGAAAGCAGGGGAUCUUCGGACCUUUCGCGAUUGAAUGAGCCGAUGUCGGAUUAGCUAGUUGGCGGGGUAAAGGCCCACCAAGGCGACGAUCCGUAGCUGGUCUGAGAGGAUGAUCGGCCACACUGGAACUGAGACACGGUCCAGACUCCUACGGGAGGCAGCAGUGGGGAAUAUUGGACAAUGGGCGAAAGCCUGAUCCAGCCAUACCGCGUGGGUGAAGAAGGCCUUCGGGUUGUAAAGCCCUUUUGUUGGGAAAGAAAAGCUGCAGGUUAAUACGCCGCUGUUCUGACGGUACCCAAAGAAUAAGCACCGGCUAACUUCGUG
rnacentral:rRNA from 1 species